rnacentral:rRNA from 1 species
AGAGUUUGAUCCUGGCUCAGGACGAACGCUGGCGGCGUGCUUAACACAUGCAAGUCGAACGGAAAGGCCCUGCUUUUGUGGGGUGCUCGAGUGGCGAACGGGUGAGUAACACGUGAGUAACCUGCCCUUGACUUUGGGAUAACUUCAGGAAACUGGGGCUAAUACCGGAUAGGAGCUCCUGCUGCAUGGUGGGGGUUGGAAAGUUUCGGCGGUUGGGGAUGGACUCGCGGCUUAUCAGCUUGUUGGUGGGGUAGUGGCUUACCAAGGCUUUGACGGGUAGCCGGCCUGAGAGGGUGACCGGCCACAUUGGGACUGAGAUACGGCCCAGACUCCUACGGGAGGCAGCAGUGGGGAAUAUUGCACAGUGGGCGGAAGCCUGAUGCAGCAACGCCGCGUGCGGGAUGACGGCCUUCGGGUUGUAAACCGCUUUCGCCUGUGACGAAGCGUGAGUGACGGUAAUGGGUAAAGAAGCACCGGCUAACUACGUG